CCAAUAGCGUAUAUUAAAGUUGUUGCAGUUAAAAAGCUCGUAGUUGAAUUUCGGGAUUGACGUGAUGGUCGUACCUUAAGGGGUAUGAACUGUCGCUGUUGAUUUCUCACCUUCUGGAGAAACUUGAUGUCCUUAAUUUGGGUGUCUUGCGGAUCCAGGACCUUUACCUUGAAAAAAUUAGAGUGUUUAAAGCAGGCAUUUUUGCUCGAAUACAUUAGCAUGGAAUAAUAGAAUAGGACGGCAUGGUUCUAUUUUGUUGGUUUCUAGGAUCACCGUAAUGAUUAAUAGGGAUAGUUGGGGGCAUUAGUAUUCAAUUGUCAGAGGUGAAAUUCUUGGAUUUAUUGAAGACUAACUACUGCGAAAGCAUUUGCCAAGGAUGUUUUCAUUAAUCAAGAACGAAAGUUAGGGGAUCGAAGACGAUCAGAUACCGUCGUAGUCUUAACCAUAAACUAUGCCGACUAGGAAUCAGACGAUGUUAAUUUUUUAAUGACUCGUUUGGCACCUUACG
rnacentral:rRNA from 1 species